UAGGGAGGUUCUGAGUACGCCAGGUGGAGUGAGUACCAUGAGUUCCUUCAUAGCCAUGACGUUGAAGAAGAGUAUGUCAAGUUCUGUGAGGAAUUGUUCAAGAAGCUAGAGUGGAUGGAAGGUUAUCUAGAUUUUCCCCGGCCAUCUCAUAAGUGGGAUCGCAUAUCUUCCCGAGGAGCUUUACAAGCAAUUAAACUUGCAGCUACUACUUUUGAGAAGAUCACUGCAUGUUUAGCUUACUAUGGCUACUUUG